rnacentral:rRNA from 1 species
GAAAGCCACGGCUAACUACGUGCCAGCAGCCGCGGUAAUACGUAGGUGGCAAGCGUUAUCCGGAAUUAUUGGGCGUAAAGCGCGCGUAGGCGGUUUUUUAAGUCUGAUGUGAAAGCCCACGGCUCAACCGUGGAGGGUCAUUGGAAACUGGAAAACUUGAGUGCAGAAGAGGAAAGUGGAAUUCCAUGUGUAGCGGUGAAAUGCGCAGAGAUAUGGAGGAACACCAGUGGCGAAGGCGACUUUCUGGUCUGUAACUGACGCUGAUGUGCGAAAGCGUGGGGAUCAAACAGGAUUAGAUACCCUGGUAGUCCACGCCGUAAACGAUGAGUGCUAAGUGUUAGGGGGUUUCCGCCCCUUAGUGCUGCAGCUAACGCAUUAAGCACUCCGCCUGGGGAGUACGACCGCAAGGUUGAAACUCAAAGGA